AGGGCAUGCACGGCCGGCCGGGCCGCUCACACACCUUGGGCUUCGGCAAAACCCGGCUAAGUCGCAACGGAACCAGUGAAAUGUUUAACCUGUCACUAAGAAUACGUGACCGAACUGACAGACGGACGGACGGACGGACAGACGGGCUUUCUCCUGAAACCAAUCAGUCAUGUUUUAGCGUAGAGCAACUGAACAGAACUUGCAUUUACUGUACCUUGCAAGUUCCUGUGCUGCCCGGGUCCAUUUUGGAGGCCGUCAUCUGCAGGGAAGAAAGACAACAUGGAAGUGGGCCCGUUGAACUUGAGCACGGAGCUCAAUUUCACUGUGCGAGCGGAGACUUCACCCUGAGAGCAAAAGCAGAAACCAAUAAACAACUCUGCCCUCGCUUCCUUGGCGUGCGGCGAGUUCAGACUCCAGCACCAGCCUUUUGGAAGGAAACCGAAGAGGGUCCAUGUGGUACUGAAUGUGUGGCUCGCUGUGGAAGCACAGUGCGUCUCUCGUACCCCAAACACUGGGCACAGACAAAUGUUCCAGGCGAGGAGCUGGGAUGCCUUUGUGUCGGCCUCAAAAAAGGAAACACGGAGCCAGAGCAGAGCUGUGACAAACCCGUAUUAUUAUUUACUGAAAGCGGGGAGGAGGUCUGACGCGUCACAGUCUCAGGCUGUGAUGAUACGGUCCUGCUGACCGCACAUGAAAGUGAUGGAGGGGCGCCGCGGGACAGGUGGUCCCCCAACGCCGCGCCGCCCGCUCCAGCACAGAGCGGCCCCUGUCCCGUGCCAGCACGCCGCCAGAUGGCCCGUCUGGCCCGACCCCUCUGGGCUGGCGGGACUCACUGAUCGCCGUGCCCAGCUCUCCGCAGGCGCCUUGGCAGCCGGGCCGACGUGACAGCCCCGCUUGUUGAAGAUCAAACGCUAAUCGCCGCACGCUCCUGUUGCUGCGCUGCCACAUGUCCUCCGAGGAAGAAAAGGAAAAUGUCUGCGUCCUCCUCCAGAGCUUUUUGAGGAAAGUCAUAAAAAUGUUGUGCCCAUCCAGAAGUGUGACACACUUCACUGUAGAUAAUAGAUAACAUCAUCGGUCAGGCCAUUGGUCUACUGGCAAAGUCACAGCGUGAGGACACAGAUUAAUUAAAGAGGAGACGGCAGAGGAGAGAGUUUCAGAGCAGCGUUGUGGGGAAUCCUAACGAGCCCAUCGAACCACACGCAGCGAUUUUAUUUUGGCGGGGGCAGUCAAGACGACGCAUGCCUUUCAGCUCUCUUACAUCACCCUCCAGGCAGACAAGCCUGGUCGCAGCCCCGCGAGGUGAACUCCCAUGUCCCAGCCAGCGAUGUGGGAACCCACUCUGCCGAUUUGAAAGCAUGACCUCACGGCAUGACAUCACUCUCCUGGAGAUACAAGAGCUUCUCCUUCUCCAGCUUUCAUCUGCGCUGCUCACACUGUCCAGGGACAGCA